rnacentral:rRNA from 1 species
GAUGAACGCUAGCUACAGGCUUAACACAUGCAAGUCGAGGGGAAACGGCAUUGAGUGCUUGCACUCUUUGGACGUCGACCGGCGCACGGGUGAGUAACGCGUAUCCAACCUUCCCAUUACUGUGGGAUAACCUGCCGAAAGGCAGACUAAUACCGCAUAGUCUUCGAUGACGGCAUCAGAUUUGAAGUAAAGAUUUAUCGGUAAUGGAUGGGGAUGCGUCUGAUUAGCUUGUUGGCAGGGUAACGGCCCACCAAGGCUACGAUCAGUAGGGGUUCUGAGAGGAAGGUCCCCCACAUUGGAACUGAGACACGGUCCAAACUCCUACGGGAGGCAGCAGUGAGGAAUAUUGGUCAAUGGACGGAAGUCUGAACCAGCCAAGUAGCGUGCAGGAUGACGGCCCUAUGGGUUGUAAACUGCUUUUGUAUGGGGAUAAAGUUAGGGACGUGUCCCUAUUUGCAGGUACCAUACGAAUAAGGACCGGCUAAUUCCGUG